rnacentral:rRNA from 1 species
UACGUAGGCAGCAAGCGUUGUUCGGAGUUACUGGGCGUAAAGAGUGCGUAGGCGGUGUCGAAAGUUUGGCGUGAAAUCUCCCGGCUUAACUGGGAGGGUGCGCCGAAAACUGCGGUGCUGGAGUGUGGGAAAGGCAAGCGGAAUUCCUGGUGUAGCGGUGAAAUGCGUAGAUAUCAGGAGGAACACCGGUGGUGUAGACGGCUUACUGGACCACGACUGACACUGAGGCACGAAAGCGUGGGUGGCAAACAGG